GACCAAUUCCAGCCAGACACACACUAAUGAAGGGCAUGAAGGAUACAGGUGAGGAGAAUUACUAAGGAGGAGAUGUGGCCUGCAGAGAGUCCUGAGAGUCAGAUGGAGAGGACUGGAAGGCCGUCUUUUGCCCCUCAGCCUGAUAUUCCCUAUCACUGUCUUAGAUUGCAAACCCCAUGGCCUCUGAGAAAUCAUGCACAUUAACGGUGCUAUAAAAUAAUGUGCCCUGAGUGCACCUCUGACUCCUUCAGUUCACACUUGCUGAGUUGCCCGUGCCUAAUCCCUUUCCUCUUCUUUACUCCCCAUCACGCAAUGCACCAGGGAGUUCAUUGCAUGCUAUGGUUCUGCACUUUUAUUUUUUUAAAAAAAUGAUAUUUAUUGAGAAUUUAAAAUUACAGAAAGAGAAAGGAAAAAGCAAGAAAAAAGAAAAGGGAAAAAGGUAUACAAAAAAAAGAAAUUAAACAAUAUAAGUCAAUAAAAACAAAAGUCAAAAAAGGGGAAAAAAACCACACAAUACAUCAGAAUAAACAAAAAAAUAAACAAAAAAAUUUAAAAGCAAAUCCAAUAUUCCCAAAUCCUUAUCUUUCAUUAACUUGUUUCAUCGACCUCCUCACACCUCCCUUUUUUGUAUUCUAGUUAUUAAUUAUCUCAGCAAAUCCUUUCCAUCUUUCACAAUAUUCUGUCAUUAGAUUACCUUAAUCUAUUUUAACCUUAUCUUACCAUAAAAAAACCCUAAAGCUUAAAACUUAAAUCUUAUUUAUACCUAAUUCUUUUUAACAAAACAUAUUUAUACAUAAUUCUUUUUAACAUUUCUACUAAAGCCAAAUAGUUUCAUUCCAACGUUUUUCUAAUACUCAUUAAUUUUACACUAAUUUUCUAAAUGAAUUUUAAAAACUUUCUUCCAAUCUUCAUCCGUCGUCUCUUCUUCCUGGUCUCGGGUUUUAUCAGUCCUUUCUGUUCCAUCCAUCUAGUCCAUCAACCUGGUGACCUUCUAUCCGAGGCUCUUAAGUCUUUUCCAUGUCCCUUCUGCAGGUCUUCUUCAUAUUUAUACCUGCACUUUACUUUAUCUUCUGCUGAUCUUAUUCUUAAUUUCCUUCCUUUCUCUCGCGGAGACUCCAACUUGACAAUAUCUUUAUCCCUUCUCGACAAGUCAGCCCAUUCUCCAUAGUCAACACUGAAAUCCAAAAGAUAUUUAAAGGCAUGUUUCAAAGUCCCUCCAAGAUUAAGGGCCCCCACAACUCCGAACUCCCCCUGGCCCAAAGCCAGAUCUGAAAAGUCAAAACAUCCCUGCAUAGGGGGAUCUAUCCAACUUCCCAUCUCCAGACCAAACAGUACUCCAUCUCUCCAAAUCUGACUUUCUCCAGGUUCAGUCGUCAAAGACAGCAACUUAUGUUCCUGCAAGGCCGCAGCUCUCUCCAUUUCUGGUACUUGAGGUUCAGCAACUACCUCCUCCUUUAUCUUCUUCACCACUUGCUCUGUCAAAGCACAUUCCUGGAUUGAUUCCUGAGUGGUUACUAUAUAAGUAUUCACUGUUUGUCCAAAAUUUCCAACUGCAACAGUCAUCAAAUCCAUCUUCUCAUGUAGCUGUUCCAGUAAAGCACUUGUCUUGCAAAAAGCAAGCACUAAAGCUUCUUCUGGGUACAUUCUUGUUCAAGGUCGGUGUCUAGUUCCCACGAUCUUUUAUCUCUACAGCUGUAGAAUUCCCCAGAUUGACUCCAGCAACAGUUUCACAGGCUCCCUCUAGAGGAAACAAUUUCUAUUUGUAUCCAUCUUUUUAAAAGCAGAUUCUAGCAACAAAGUUCCUUUCGUUUCCCAGAUAUUUCGUUCCUUUUAAAUGCAAAAGGGAACAUUGGAAUCAAUAUGUUUCUCUUUUUUAACUAUCUGUCAAAAACGUUUUGUCCACAGUCAAUAAACUUCCCCAAAGUGUCUGUCUCUGACACCCGCUCCCAGGAUCAAGACGGCGGAAAUUUAUCUUUCUUUACUCUCUCUUCUGCAGGUUUAAACAGUCUAAAAAGAUUCCCCCCUCUUCUCCUGCUUCCAAGGGGGGUUUAGUGAUUUCAACUGAUGGAAAUGUAGUCCUUUACAAACGACUUUCCAGACUCUAGCUUGCAAUGUCUUUGCUUCAAUCUAUUUACAAAAGCGGAAGGCGGUCUUCCUGUUUAGACCUUCCCGCUUCGGUGCCAAAUUAAAAAAGUUUCUUAAUCCAAUUUUCCGUUCUACUCACGGGCAGUUGUUUAAAAUCCAAUUGUCCACAGGAAAAAGUCAGCGCUUUCCGGCAACAGCAAUGCGGCUUCACUCCGUGAAAAAAGCAGUCGAUUCAAAGCACUGUGCCAUUCACCCCACGUCGCUCCGGAUCCCCGAAACCGGGUUUCCCCGUGAGUAGGGGAGGCGCAAAAAGUGCCAGCCGAAUCCCACGUCCACAGGCUUCUCCUGCCUGUGGUUUUUAAUGGGUCUCCACCUCGCCGCGGCGGUCCAGACCCUAGUUCUCACGAAGCGGAUUCCUCCUGGUCAGAGGAAAUCCGCCAUUGCCGGAGGCGCUAACCCGGAAGUCUGGUUCUGCACUUUUAGUUUGUACAAGUGCACCGGCUUCUCCCCAGUGUAACUCUAAAUAAACAUACCAUUGGUGCAAGAAUUUCUGCUAGUGCAAUGGGACUUCCCUCCUGUUAGAUCUGCUCCAGAAGAUAAUGAGAGCCCACAGAACAUUUUUAGGGGGUACAUGGGGGAGGAGGUGGAAUCCUGCAGCUGAAGUGGAAAUCCUUGUCCUAACAGGACGGUUACUUAGCACGAAAUUGGAUGCAAGCUUCUGUGUCUGCAAAAAUGGACUUUAAAUAUGUGAGGAUUUCUAGUGAGAUUUCAGAAAUGCGGUGGAACAUGAAUUCCUUUGAUUCUUCAGUUCCCUGCGUAGUUUGUUGUCCCUCCCCUCCAAUUAGCAGAAACCUCAAUCAACAAUGCAGAAGUUACACAAAUUUGCUGGCCUGCGACACAUGGCAGGAUUCCAUUUUCCUGUUUUCAAACUUUUAGAACACACACAGCCCUGGUGGUGUGUGAUCCUGUUUGAGGUGUGGGGCAGGGAACCUCCAAGGGGGAAACAGGCCAGCUUUGGCAAGCGAGGCCCCUCUCCACCCUUCCAUGUUCAAGCUUCCCUAACAAACUUGGCAAGCUGCUGUGUGGGCCUGUCUGGAGGAAAACAAACUCUGGUCUCAGAUGGAAGAUGACGGCGCUUAGUGUGGGGAGAUGCCCGAUGCGAGGAGCAAGGGCUGUGGCUGGCUCUGAUUAGCGUGUCGAGACAGAGCCUCAAUAGGAACCAUCUGGACCUCUGUGGCUCUGAGAUGUCCGAGGAACGCAGGCGGAGAACGAUGAUGUGCAGCACGUUAGAAAAUGACGGGGAUGCCUCAGGCAGCCAACAACAUGUGGUGAAACGAGCAUCAGUCUUCGAUAAGAUAAUCUACCCCUACGUCUGUCAAUGAGGUUUCUUUUUGCAACAGGGCCAGCUGAAGAGCAGGCUUGGACUUGGAUCCUGACCCCUCUCAUUUGUGGCAUUCCCCACCUGUCCUUGUGGCUGUGAGGAUCAUUCCCGGUGGAUUGUGGGUAAGGUUUUCCCUUCCUUCUCAAGUGUUGGGCUUGGCUGCAACGGCAGACAAUGUGGUCAAAUCAGCAGAGUCACUCUUGGAGAACCCCAAAGUGCGGAGAAACGAUCGUCUGGACUGGACAAUUGAGGCAUCGAGUCGAGCGGCUGGGGAGAAUUUAUGGCCUGGAACUAUGAACCUCAAAGGCGCAAUCUGCUGUGUCCUCAAAACCUCUUCCCUUCCCCUGUGGGCAUUGCAACCCAAGGCAGGGUUUCUGCCCUUCCAUAUGACUUCACCGCACUCGUUCCCUGAACUUUCCUCUCUCCCAUCGGCAAAGCCAGCAAUAUUUAUAGCUCCUGUUUUUCCAUUUCCCCUCUUGUUCUGAGAAGCUACCAAGGGAUUUGGGAAGGGCCAUAGCUCAGCGGUGGAGCAUGUGUUCGGCAUGC